UUAGGUUUCUUUUAAGAUUGGGUAGAUAUCUCAUAUUUCUUAAUGUCCUGACAAUACCAUCAUGCAUUUUGAUGGCAAUAUUACCAAUCCCAACAACAACAGCUUGAGAGUUGAUGUCUCCCAUAUAAACCUUCCUAGGUUCUAUAUCCUCGUAGUUAUAAAACCAUGAUUUUAUGGGACUUAUGUGAAAGGUACACCCUGAGUCUAAUAUCCAGUCUUUAUUGAUUUCAUCACUAGUUACAGUCAUCACAUGCAGGCUGUCAAGUUCAGAUCCCACAGUUGCAUUAUUUAAUUCCUCAUUGUUUUGAUCCUUUUGUUUCUUUUUCCAGUCAAAACAAUCCCUUUUAAAAUGACCAGUCGUAUAACAGUGGUAACAUUUUUUUUUCACUCUUGUCUCGAGAUUUUGAUCUCCCUUUUGAUUUUCCUCUUGAUUUUUUAAUUUGAAAUCCAUUUUCCCUCUUCUUUGGUCUUCUCCUAACAAGCGUACUCUCGUCUUUGGGGUUUGACCUAUACUCCUUCCUUAACUCUAGUUCUCAAGGCAUCUAUCACUAUAGCUUGGGUCAACUUAUCCCUAGAGUACUUAAUAUCAUUCCUAGUAUCUUUAUGUGAUUCAGGUAAUGCAUUCAAUAAAAUCAUAGCAAGGUCUUCAUCAUCAAAAUUUUUAUCAUUGUGUGCCAAACUCUUAACAAUAAUACUAAAGUAUGUGCCAAACUCUUAACAAUAAUACUAAAGUCACUUUGGUUCUGUUCUAAGUCCUUUCUUGGGUCCAUUCUGAAAUUAAAUAGUUUUUCCAAAAGAUAGAUUUUAUUUGGUAAAGUUUUGGUCAGAAAUAUAUUGUCAAGAGCAGUCCAUAAAUCUCUAACAGUUUAGACUCAUCAACUUGUCUAACUAUGUUAUCAGAUAAAUGCAGAAUUAUUGAACUAUAUGCAAUUUCGUUAAUCUCUUCAAUUUCACUGGGUUUAGCUUUAAGUUCAUCAGGAAAUUUUUCUGGAUCAUCAAGGGUUUUUGCAACCCUCUACUGGACCAAAAUGGCCCUCAUUUUCUGUUUCCAUAUAGAGUAGUCUCCCUUUCCAUUGAAUUGACUCAAUUCGACCUGCGAAUCCAUUGCAGGUUGUGUAAAAAGGUGGGCAACACUCAUGGACAUAGUGUGAUCUCAUGUGCAGAUCAAACUAUUAACAGAAAAGGUUUUUAAAAAAUUUUCCAAUUUAAAGCACUUACUAAGAUACAGUAAUUGAAGCAGAUAAGUAUGAUUUUUGAUCAAAAAUUAUAUUAAUAUCAAUAAUGAUCACAAUGACAGUAAUUAUGUAUCAAGAAUUGCAAGCUGCAGUCUUAAGCAAUUUCGAAACAUAACGUAUCAUUAAGCAGACAUAUGUUCAUGCAAGUCAGAUUCAUCUUCCAUACAAGAAAGUAAUUAUGUAGUUAUAUAUAUCAAGAAAUGUGCAUCAAUAGUUCAACAAUUAUAAAGAUUUAUGGAAAUUUCUCACCAAACUACUGUUUGUGAAAAACAGUAAAAAAGGGAUCAGUCCUGAGACCAAGAACACAAUCACCAGUGGCCAAAUGGUGAUAAGUCCACCGUUACUCACUGAAAAGUCACAAAACAAGAUUAUUAGUGAAAAAAAUUUGUCAGAUCCUUUAAAAAAUCGACAGAUCUUAAAAAAAAUGUCAGAUCCCAAAUAUUUUUUUUUCGACCCAAAGAAUAACUUGUGUAAAGAAGCACAUCCAGAAACCCUCUUGGCUUUGAUACCAAUUUUGUUGGGUAUUUCUUGAUGAUAAAGAACUCUAACCGAAAACAAUAAAUCAAAGUACUCAAAUGAUAAAACGAAAAACAAGACAAAACAACGAAAUUUGUUGACCCAGUUCAGCCAAACACGGCCUAAUUUGGGGGGCUCAGGAGUUGAACCCGUUUCACUAUGCAAAUCGCCGUCCAAGAAAACUAAAGUUGCAUCAAACCACUCAGAAUACACAAGUUUCGAUCAUCGAUCAACAGAUAUACGAAACUAAACACAAAUCCUUCCACAGUACUUAGCCCCAACUCCACAGUUUACACAAACCGAAACCAACAGCCACAUAAACCAACCCACAAAUUAUUGUAGCAAGGCUAUUAUACAAGGCCUAGUGUAGAAACACAAUUAUACAGGAAGAAUUUAACCGAAGAGAAGAAAGAGAUGAAAAAUCUCUCUCGAAGAAGGCCUCCAGAGAGAGACCAGAAACAAGAAAAAUGAAUCUGAAAAACCAACCGUCCAGCAGCCAUUUUCAUUUGGAAGUUUCCAUUACACUGUCCGGUGGAAAAUAAUCCAUUUUAAUACGUGGUAUGUGGUUGAUAAUGAAGUUUGACCAAAUCAUUGCCAAGAACAUAGAAUAUCUCCAGGAUUCAUUUGGAGAAAUAUGGAAGUAACUAAUGAUCUAGGCUGUAAAUGAGAGAUUGAAUUAAGUGGCAAACAGAUUCUUUAGUAAUUUUGGGUAACCAUAAUAACAUGUCAACAUCUAAUAUGAAGUACAUCAGGAUUUUCUUGAGCAUAGAAAGAUUGAAUGAGAAAAAGUUGCAUCGAGAUACACCUUUCUGGAUCGUUAUUUCAGAAAGGUCACUUUACUGAUGCUAGAAUAAAAGGUGCAAAAUUGAUAUCACUCCAUGUCAGAGUGGGAAGUGGAUGUACUAAUACUUUGCACCAAAUAUUCAACAUAUUGAACUAAUGCCGCCAGUAAAGGGUUAGUGGCAUUAAUUUGAUGUCUGGGCUUUUUAUUACAGCUUUUAGGUCAUUUUUUAUUGGUUAAGGCAAAUCUUUGGGGAUCCCAUUUAGAUUGAUGUAUUUGAAAUCAAUUUCCCAAAUCCGGUAAUGGUGUUUGAUAACUCACACUUUCUAAGGUUAUAAGUUCACCAUAAAACCUAACCAAUUUGAGGCUCACUUUAUGUUGAUUUCAAAUCCAUUGACUCUCCAUCGUCAUUCUUCAGCAUAGUGCAGAGGUGGUUUGUGAGAGUUUAAAGCAACAGUGGUGUUGCAACGACAAUAUCAUGGAGGUGUUGGGUUGAGAGACGGUGGGUGAUGGUAGUGGUGGCAGGUUGUGGUGGUCCUUGACAGAGGUGGCUUUGUGCGGUUUUGGCGGGACAGAAGGUGACCAAGGCAGGUGAUGGUGAAGGCUAAUGGCAUUGACAAUUCCAGCCUGAGCUUUACUUAAUAGGUGAGGAAAUUUAUUAAAACCCUCCUGACAUUCUUGUUUGAAAACUAAACUUCAUUGCAAUUCUCAGGACUAAUUAUGUAAUUAACCAUGACUGGAGCCUAGAAAUCAAAAUUCAAGUGCUUGCUGCUUGGGUCCUGAUGCAUUUUUUUGAUUUCGUUGUGAAUUUUUGUGGUUUGAUUCAGUUGUGUGAAGGCUGAAAAUAGGAAUUUUCUUAUGACGGAUUGAGCAUGCAGUGCGGUUUUGUAAAUUAUAAUCAUGCGACAUAAAUUUGAUGCAUUGCUCUAUACAUGUCUCUGUGAUGUAUAAUUGCUCUCUCUCUAUGUAAGUUUGCUGCAAACUUUUUUCCUUUUAGCUUCUAUAGGCAGAGAGGAAACUGUGUAUGG
rnacentral:lncRNA from 1 species